AGGGUUCUGUUCUGUUCCAUUGAUCUAUAUCUGUGUUUUGGUACCAGUACCAUAGCACAAAACAAUGGAACUACUUAGGUUCCUGGUUCCUGUUUUGUGGCUGAAUAACUCUUUCCUGUUGGUUUCCAAUAUUGUACCAUUUUAAAACAGUUAAAAGACUUUUCAUUUUGCAAUAAGCUAAAGGAAAGCAGAAAAACAAAGUUAGUGAAGAUCUUCAGAGAGACAUCUAUGAAUAUCAUGUACUACUUUGAAGUAUGUAGAUUCUUUACAAACAAAUAUAGUUCCAUUUUAGCAAGGCUAGAAGACACUGUGUUCAAUGUAUAGUAGACAAAUAUAAUCUGAUAACUUUCUCCUUGAAAACAUGCAGAAACAAAUAUCAGAUUCAAAUGCUUGGGAACCCCAGUGAAGUAGCUCUGUUACUUGUUCUGGCUGACACAUUAGAUUAGCCCAACAGCUUAAAAAUUCUUUGCUUUAUGACUCCAAGUAUGUUGGGUUUCAGAAAUAGACAAUGAGAUUUUGAGAUGAGAGUAUGUGAUAAGAUGAAAACUGAAAUCAAGGACUUCCAUUAUGUUUUAUUAAUGUACAAAAUUCAAAAUCUAAAUAAAGGCAUCCCAUGAACACUUCUUCAAUAACUAACAAAGUGCUAUGAGGCAUUUCGUCAACUUAUUUUGCCUCUAAAAGAUUAAAAUGCUGAUUGUUGUGUGACAGUGUUCACCUACAG
rnacentral:lncRNA from 1 species